GAUGAACGCUGGCGGCGUGCCUAAUACAUGCAAGUCGAGCGAACGGACGAGAAGCUUGCUUCUCUGAUGUUAGCGGCGGACGGGUGAGUAACACGUGGAUAACCUACCUAUAAGACUGGGAUAACUUCGGGACACCGGAGCUAAUACCGGAUAAUCUUUUGAACCGCAUGGUUCAAAAGUGAAAGACGGUCUUGCUGUCACUUAUAGAUGGAUCCGCGCUGCAUUAGCUAGUUGGUAAGGUAACGGCUUACCAAGGCAACGAUGCGUAGCCGACCUGCGAGGGUGAUCGGCCACACUGGAACGUGGACACGGACCAGACGACUACGGGAGGCAGCAGUAGGGAAUCUGCCGCAAUAGUCGAAAGCCUGACGGAGCAACGCCGCGUGAGUGAUGAAGGUCUUCGGAUCGUAAAACUCGGUUAUUAGGGAAGAACAUAUGUGUAAGUAACUGAGCACAGCUUGACGGUACCUAAUCAGAAAGCCACGGCUAACUACGUG
rnacentral:rRNA from 1 species